GACAGAGGGUGCAAACGUUGUUCGGAAUUACUGGGCGUAAAGCGUGUGUAGGCGGCCAUAUAAGUCGGAUGUGAAAGCCCUGGGCUCAACCCAGGAAGUGCACUCGAUACUGUACGGCUUGAGUACUGGAGAGGUUGGUGGAAUUCUCGGUGUAGAGGUGAAAUUCGUAGAUAUCGAGAGGAACACCGGUGGCGAAGGCGGCCAACUGGACAGAUACUGACGCUGAGGCACGAAAGCGUGGGGAGCAAACAGG
rnacentral:rRNA from 1 species